AUAGCUCCUCAUAUCCCAGAACCUCACACCGGAUCCUUCAGCAAAGUCAGCAUCCCUAGGACUUUCUAAGCCUGAGAUGGGAACCACGUGGACUUUAAUCAUUAAUCACCAGUCUUUAAUUAACAGCUCUGGGCUUUGAACAAAAGGCACUUACUGCAAGGCUGCUGAGAGGCCCUGAACUCUUCAGAGUGCUUUCAUUUGGGGGACCUGGUGGCCUUCCAGAGGGGGCUGGUGGAGCAACCUCCCCCUCUGGGAAGGGUCAGGCAGCCCAGAAGCAGCAGAUGUUUGUGGCCCCCAUCUCCAUUUGCACAAUUGUCCCAUCCCUCAAUGUGGGGAUGCUGCCAGCUCCCCAAGGUGAGCAAAGAAACAGAGAAUCUCCAGAGCCACGUUGCCUCCACCAGACAGGCAUUUGUGGCCAAGCAUCUGCCUGGAGGCUGGAGAGCCUCAGUUCUCCUGUGUGUUGUGCCCCACUCCUGGAAAGCAGAGGCAGAGCCACGCAGCUGGAGAGGUGGGUGAAGAGCAUCGCUGCUGGAUCCAAUCAGGCAGAGGAAACUUUGGAGCAUAUGGACCCCAACGUGUGGUCCAAGUACAACAGCUUGGUGAGUGUCCUGCAGGGAGACUUUUACCAGCACUGCAGCAACAAUUCAUCAUUGCCUGAAGGCUUGAUGGGUCUGGUACUCCUCGUCUUAAUUGACCUCGGCUGGAGACCUGCGUUUGAGUCCAGCUCAGCCACGGAGGAGUCGGUCUGUGCUCGAGCCUUAAAGAGGAGAUUUAUCAGGGAAUCACAUGAUUAAUGGAACUGAGUGAUCUCUGUUCGAGAGUGGCCAGGAAUUGAAUUAACAGAGCAGGGAUUUUGGCAGGUGUGAAGGGCUGGCAGAGCCAGACCUCAGCACCCGUGGGCUCAGUGGGGUGCAGCCUCUGGCUGGGUGUGGGCAGCUUUGGGGGUCAGGGAGGAGGUCUGGAAGAACUGGAGGCACUCAAAUCUGGGCUUGGGUUUGUAUGAAAAAAAGAGGAUGUGGAUUAUUAACCCUUCUCCCGGCAGCACCAAAAUUAAGAUUGCCCACAGCCCUCUGACAGAAAGGGUAAAUGCAAAAUGAGGCUCACAGAAGUUGCUGCUCCAGAGUAAAAGGUGAUGGAGGGUGAGGAAAAAAAGGAGCAAAUAAACAGAAAUCACCAAAUGCUUGCUUUCUUUCU
rnacentral:lncRNA from 1 species